rnacentral:rRNA from 1 species
CCUACGGGUGGAGCAGUUAGGAAUUUUGCGCAAUGGGGGAAACCCUGACGCAGCAACGCCGCGUGAAGGCAGAAGGCUCUCGGGUUGUAAACUUCUUUUGACGGGAACGAAAAAAAUGACGGUACCCGUAGAAAAAGCACCGGCUAACUACGUGCCAGCAGCCGCGGUAAUACGUAGGGUGCAAGCGUUAUUCGGAUUUAUUGGGCGUAAAGCGCAUGUCGGCGGUUUGGUAAGUCUAAUGUGAAAGCCCCGGACUCAAUUCGGGAAGUGCAUCGGAUACUGCCAGGCUAGAGUAUAGGAGGGGUGAGCGGAAUUCCUGGUGUAGAGGUGAAAUUCGUAGAUAUCAGGAGGAACAACAGAAGCGAAGGCGGCUCACUGGACUAUAACUGACGCUCAGAUGCGAAAGUGUGGGGAGCAAACA